UCUAGUGGCAAUAGCGAAGAGGUCACACCCGUUCCCAUACCGAACACGGAAGUUAAGCUCUUCAGCGCCGAUGGUAGUUGGGACUUUGUCCCUGUGAGAGUAGGACGUCGCUAGGC
rnacentral:rRNA from 1 species